CAAAUAACUCUGUUGCACUUUAGGUUACCCAUUCUGCGCUUUUUUGACCUUAGCUUUUCACUUGCACUAAUUCACUAAACAGAGUUGCUUAAUUUCGACCCUUCAAUCCAACAAAUUCGCCCAAAAAACACCCACAAAUUCGCCCAAAAAACUGCAAUUCCCCAGCAAAUUCAACAUCCAAAAUCGCAAUCAAGUUCAACACCCAUAAUCGGCAGCAAAUCCGAGCAAUUUCGAGCAAAAAUUUAGACCAAAAACCCUAAUUAAUUCGAACCCUUAAACCCCAGAAAAAUUGAUUAUUUUCGACCAAAAAUCCCCCAUUUCGAGCAAAAAAUGUACUCAAUUCCAUACGAAUUCGAACCCUAGAAACCCCAAAAAAAUUCAAUUAAAAAUCCUGCUGAAAAAAUUCGAGCAAUAACUGAUAUUUUCGAGUGGAAAAAUCGCUUAAUUUCGCCCCCAAAAACCCGAGGAAGUUCAAGCAAAUUACAGCAAUGUUGAAUUUUUGAAUUUUCGAGUGGAAAAAUCGCUUAAUUUCGCCCCCAAAAAUCGAUUUCGGCUCGACAUUGUUGAAUUUUAGAAUCAAUUUCACCUAUGGAGUGCAGUCAACUUGACAUAGUUGUUCACCUGCAAAGCCUGCUUUUAUGCGAUCUGUUCUUCCACCCAGUGAAAUACUAUUGCACUGUUCAAAGCCUGGAUACAAUUUGCGGCAUCAUCAUAAUGGGCGAUGGGAAGCACGAAUUGGGCGCGUUAUAUGUACGAAAUACUUGAACAUCAUCAUAGCAGUGAAGAUCUUAUUCAGGAUUUUUCAAGAACUACACCGUACACCGAGGAGGAGAUAAAUGAGAUUCGAGAUAUUUGGGCAGAAUAUUUUAUAUGUAAUGUUGAACUUUAGAUUUACCACUUAGCGCAUGUUUGACUCUUGUUUUGGAUUAUAGGCUUGAAAUGAAGUAAUUUGGUUAAUUGGUGUUGGGAUGAUGAGUAUAAUGUCUAUGAUAUUGAGAUGUAAAUUAUUGGACAGGUUGUUAAUAUAAUGCCGUCAUUCCCAAUUUUAUGGGUAGGCCAAAUUACAAAGGAGACUCUGCCGAAAUUUACAUUUGCAUUAUUCAAUAAUAUUGCAUUUUAAUUUCAA